rnacentral:rRNA from 1 species
ACAAGCGGUGGAGUAUGUGGUUUAAUUCGAUGCAACGCGAAGAACCUUACCUGGUCUUGACAUCCCGGAGACCCUUAGGAAACUAGGGGGUGCUUCCAUCUGGAAGGAAUCUGGAGACAGGUGCUGCAUGGCUGUCGUCAGCUCGUGUCGUGAGAUGUUGGGUUAAGUCCCGCAACGAGCGCAACCCUUGCCUUUAGUUGCCAGCAGUUCGGCUGGGCACUCUAAAGGGACUGCCGGUGUUAAACCGGAGGAAGGUGGGGAUGACGUCAAGUCCUCAUGGCCUUUAUGACCAGGGCUACACACGUACUACAAUGGCCGAUACAAAGGGCAGCGACACUGCGAGGUGAAGCCAAUCCCGUAAAAUCGGUCUCAGUCCGGAUUGGAGUCUGCAACUCGACUCCAUGAAGUUGGAAUCGCUAGUAAUCGUGGAUCAGCAUGCCACGGUGAAUACGUUCCCGGGCCUU